rnacentral:rRNA from 1 species
UGGGGAAUUUUGCACAAUGGGGGCAACCCUGAUGCAGCGACGCCGCGUGAUUUAGAAGGCCUUCGGGUUGUAAAAAUCUUUUGUAUGGGAAGAAAAUGACAGUACCAUACGAAUAAGGACCGGCUAAUUACGUGCCAGCAGCCGCGGUAAUACGUAAGGUCCGAGCGUUGUCCGGAAUCAUUGGGCGUAAAGGGUACGUAGGCGGAUAAGCAAGUUAGAAGUGAAAUCCUAUAGCUCAACUAUAGUAAGCUUUUAAAACUGCUCAUCUUGAGGUAUGGAAGGGAAAGUGGAAUUCCGAGUGUAGCGGUGAAAUGCGCAGAUAUUAGGAGGAAUACCGGUGGCGAAGGCGACUUUCUGGCCAUAAACUGACGCUGAGGUACGAAAGCGUGGGUAGCAAACAGG